AUUGAACGCUGGCGGCAGGCCUAACACAUGCAAGUCGAGCGAGCGGCGGACGGGUGAGUAAUGUCUGGGAAACUGCCUGAUGGAGGGGGAUAACUACUGGAAACGGUAGCUAAUACCGCAUACCAUCAGAUGUGCCCAGAUGGGAUUAGCUGGUAGGUGGGGUAACGGCUCACCUAGGCGACGAUCCCUAGCUGGUCUGAGAGUCUGGCCAGCCACUCUGGACCUGAUACACGGGCCAGACUGCUACGGGAGGCAGCAGUGGGGAAUAUUGCAGAAUGGGCGCAAGCCUGAAUGAGCCAUGCCGCGUGUGUGAAGAAGUCCUUCGGGUUGUAAAGCACUUUCAGCGCGGAGGCGUUAGCCGCAGAAGAAGCACCGCCUAACUCCGUGCCAGCAGCCGCGGAAU
rnacentral:rRNA from 1 species